rnacentral:rRNA from 1 species
GACGAACGCUGGCGGCGUGCUUAACACAUGCAAGUCGAACGGAAAGGCCCUGCUUUUGUGGGGUGCUCGAGUGGCGAACGGGUGAGUAACACGUGAGUAACCUGCCCCUGACUUUGGGAUAACUUCAGGAAACUGGGGCUAAUACCGGAUAGGAGCUCCUGCUGCAUGGUGGGGGUUGGAAAGUUUCGGCGGUUGGGGAUGGACUCGCGGCUUAUCAGCUUGUUGGUGGGGUAGUGGCUUACCAAGGCUUUGACGGGUAGCCGGCCUGAGAGGGUGACCGGCCACAUUGGGACUGAGAUACGGCCCAGACUCCUACGGGAGGCGGCAGUGGGGAAUAUUGCACAAUGGGCGGAAGCCUGAUGCAGCAACGCCGCGUGCGGGAUGACGGCCUUCGGGUUGUAAACCGCUUUCGCCUGUGACGAAGCGUGAGUGACGGUAAUGGGUAAAGAAGCACCGGCUAACUACGUG